GCAAGCUAUUUAUAUGCAGAACUGUGAGAGGACGUGCAACUGUACAAGCAAAAGAUAUACAUACAUAUAUUGGGUAUGCACAUAUGUAUUUAUGUGAUCAAAUAAAAUGAGACAUUGAAAAGUCAAUGAAAUUAUAAUAGAAAAAAAAACUAUUAUAAAGCAACAAAGUGUAAAAAUAAAAUUUAAUAAUGUGCUAUGCGCUUUACAA